CUGAACUCUGCAGGUGGAUGGCUCUGGGAAUCCCUGAGGGUGGGGAGGCGGUGGGAAGGUGCCUCCAGCAUCCCCAGGCAGGGUGGAUGAGGCUCCCAGAGCAUCUCAACGAGCUGUUUGCAAAUUAU
rnacentral:lncRNA from 1 species